AGAGCGAACGCUGGCGGCAGGCUUAACACAUGCAAGUCGAGCGGGCGUAGCAAUACGUCAGCGGCAGACGGGUGAGUAACGCGUGGGAACAUACCUUUUGGUUCGGAACAACACAGGGAAACUUGUGCUAAUACCGGAUAAGCCCUUACGGGGAAAGAUUUAUCGCCGAAAGAUUGGCCCGCGUCUGAUUAGCUAGUUGGUGAGGUAACGGCUCACCAAGGCGACGAUCAGUAGCUGGUCUGAGAGGAUGAUCAGCCACAUUGGGACUGAGACACGGCCCAAACUCCUACGGGAGCAGCAGUGGGGAAUAUGGACAAUGGGCGAAAGCCUGAUCCAGCCAUGCCGCGUGAGUGAUGAAGGCCUAGGUUGUAAAGCUCUUUGUGCGGGAAGAUAAUGACGUACCGCAAGAAUAAGCCCGCUAACUUCGUGCCAGCAGCCGC
rnacentral:rRNA from 1 species